AACGAACGCUGGCGGCAUGCCUAACACAUGCAAGUCGAACGAGACCUUCGGGUCUAGUGGCGCACGGGUGCGUAACGCGUGGGAACCUGCACUUAGGUUCGGAAUAACUCCCCGAAAGGGGUGCUAAUACCGGAUAAUGUCUUCGGACCAAAGAUUUAUUGCCUUUGGAUGGGCCCGCGUUGGAUUAGCUAGUUGGUAGGGUAAAAGCCUACCAAGGCGACGAUCCAUAGCUGGUCUGAGAGGAUGAUCAGCCACACUGGGACUGAGACACGGCCCAGACUCCUACGGGAGGCAGCAGUGGGGAAUAUUGGACAAUGGGCGAAGGCCUGAUCCAGCAAUGCCGCGUGAGUGAUGAAGGCCUUAGGGUUGUAAAGCUCUUUUACCCGGGAUGAUAAUGACAGUACCGGGAGAAUAAGCUCCGGCUAACUCCGUG
rnacentral:rRNA from 1 species